GACUUUGUAGCUCAGUUGGUUAGAGCGCUGCACCAGAAUUGCAGGGCCACAUGUUCAAUUACAAAAUUU